GUCUGAGGCCGGACCCGCCUGGACGCGCCGGAGCUCGUCUGAUCUCGGAAGCUGGGCAGGGUUAGGCCUGACUAGUAUUUGGAUGGGAGGAUCGUGUCAGGACUGAGUCUCUUCCAAACA
rnacentral:rRNA from 1 species